AAACCCCAAGUCAUACCGCCACGGAGGCGCUCGGCCAAAAAGCGCCGACCGGAAAGGCGCUCGGCCAAAGAGUGCCGACCAGAGAGCACCAACCAGAGGGGUGCUCGGCUAGAGAGCGCCGAUCCGAAAAGAUGCUCGGCCCAAGAGUGCCGACCGGAGCGCCAAGAGGCGCUCGGACCAACCAACGACCAAGUAGGGAUGCUCGGCUAGAAAGAGCCGACCAGA
rnacentral:lncRNA from 1 species